GGAAAAAAAAGGCCAGCUUCCAGAGCAUCCUGUUUGGACAGCAAAUUCCUGAGUCAAGUCCUGCAUGCUUUCAGGCAGACAGAGACAGAGUGAAAGGAAAAGAAAUGGAAAGACUGUAUGCUACGUUGAAAAGCUAGUCCAGCUGGCCCCUUCUCCAGCACAAGCAGGGGGAGCUGUAGAGAGAGAGGGA